GAUGAACGCUGGCGGCGUGCCUAAUACAUGCAAGUCGAGCGAACAGACGAGAGUGCUUGCACUCUCUGACGUUAGCGGCGGACGGGUGAGUAACACGUGGGUAACCUACCUAUAAGACUGGGAUAACUUCGGGAAACCGGAGCUAAUACCGGAUAAUAUUUAGCUUCGCAUGAAGCAAUAGUGAAAGACGGUUCUGCUGUCACUUAUAGAUGGACCCGCGGUGUAUUAGCUAGUUGGUGAGGUAACGGCUCACCAAGGCAACGAUACAUAGCCGACCUGAGAGGGUGAUCGGCCACACUGGGACUGAGACACGGCCCAGACUCCUACGGGAGGCAGCAGUAGGGAAUCUUCCGCAAUGGACGAAAGUCUGACGGAGCAAUGCCGCGUGAGUGAAGAAGGUUUUCGGAUCGUAAAACUCUGUUGUAAGGGAAGAACAAGUACGUUAGUAACUGAACGUAUCUUGACGGUACCUUAACAGAAAGCCACGGCUAACUACGUG
rnacentral:rRNA from 1 species